rnacentral:rRNA from 1 species
UAGGGAGUCUUCCACAAUGGGCGAAAGCCUGAUGGAGCAACGCCGCGUGUGUGAUGAAGGGUUUCGGCUCGUAAACACUGUUGUAAGAGAAGAAUGACAUUGAGAGUAACUGUUCAAUGUGUGACGGUAUCUUACCAGAAAGGAACGGCUAAAUACGUGCCAG